CCCAGACUCCUACGGGAGGCAGCAGUGGGGAAUCUUCCGCAAUGGGCGCAAGCCUGACGGAGCAACGCCGCGUGAAUGAAGAAGGUCUUCGGAUCGUAAAGUUCUGUUCUUAGGGAAGAAGUCUUUUCUUGUGAAUAAUGGGAGAAGGUGACGGUACCUAUGGAGAAAGCUCCGGCUAACUACGUGCCAGCAGCCGCGGUAAUACGGAGGAUGCGAGCGUUAUCCGGAUUUAUUGGGUUUAAAGGGUGCGUAGGCGGGCUGUUAAGUCAGCGGUCAAAUGUCGGGGCUCAACCCCGGCCUGCCGUUGAAACUGGCGGCCUCGAGUGGGCGAGAAGUAUGCGGAAUGCGUGGUGUAGCGGUGAAAUGCAUAGAUAUCACGCAGAACUCCGAUUGCGAAGGCAGCAUACCGGCGCCCUACUGACGCUGAGGCACGAAAGCGUGGGUAUCGAACAGGAUUAGAUACCCGCGUAC
rnacentral:rRNA from 1 species